rnacentral:rRNA from 1 species
GAUAUAGGUCGCAAACGUUAUCCGGAAUUAUUGGGCGUAAAGCAUCCGUAGCCGGUUCUACAAGUCUUCCGUUAAAUCCAACUGCUCAACAGGUGGGCUGCGGAAGAUACUAUAGAGCUAGGAGGCGGGAGAGGCAAGCGGUACUCGAUGGGUAGGGGUAAAAUCCGUUGAUCCAUUGAAGACCACCAGUGGCGAAGGCGGCUUGCCAGAACGCGCUCGACGGUGAGGGAUGAAAGCUGGGGGAGCAAACCGG